ACGCGAAGAACCUUACCUGGACUCGAAAUCUAGUUGACAGUCUCAGAGAUGAGAUCUUCCCGCAAGGGACGGCUGGAUAGGUGCUGCAUGGCUGUCGUCAGCUCGUGUCGUGAGAUGUUGGGUUAAGUCCCGCAACGAGCGCAACCCUCACCCUUAGUUGCUCGCCCGCAAGGGAAGCACCCUAAGGGAACCGCCUCGGAUAACGGGGAGGAAGGUGGGGAUGACGUCAAGUCCUCAUGGCCUUUAUGCCCAGGGCUACACACGUGCUACAAUGGCCGGUACAAAGCGUCGCCAACCCGCGAGGGGGAGCCAAUCGCAAAAAACCGGUCUCAGUUCGGAUUGCAGGCUGCAACUCGCCUGCAUGAAGCUGGAAUCGCUAGUAAUCGCGUAUCAGAACGACGCGGUGAAUACGUUCCCGGGCCUUGUA
rnacentral:rRNA from 1 species